UAAACACCCCCGCCUCCGGAGCACCCUACGGGACGCGCUGCGGGACGUAAUGACGCGAGCGGGUGGGUGGGGCUUGCCGGUUGCGACAUUUCCGUUUCUCUUAGUGGUGGUGUGCUUCGGAGAAGAGAGCAGCACGCAGAGCCAGCGGGACAAUGCCUAAAUCAAAGGAACUUGUGUCUUCAAGCUCAUCUGCCAGUGAUUCAGAUAGUGAAGUUGACAAAAAGGCAAAGAGGAAAAAGCAAGUAGCUCCAGAAAAGCCUGUAAAGAAACAAAAGACUGGUGAAAGUUCUAAAGGUGCAGCUUCCUCUAAGCAAAGCAGCAACAGAGAUGAGAAUAUGUUCCAGAUUGGCAAAAUGAGGUAUGUCAGUGUUCGUGACUUUAAGGGGAAAGUCCUAAUUGAUAUUAGAGAAUACUGGAUGGAUCAAGAAGGUGAAAUGAAACCUGGCAGAAAAGUGUUAUACCAGUAAGUUAUAGUACUAAACAUUUUUUGGGGAAACCUACCGUGUCUCCAAGAUGCAAAAGUCCCAUAUGGGAAUAUUUUUUUGAAGAGAUUCCUGUAUCAUUUGGAAGUAUUAAGAAAGGAUCACAUGCUGUAUAAGCGUAACAAAGACAAUGCAGGGCUUGGUAGCAGGAAUGAAACAACAUUUUGAAAAGUGUGCUACCCAUGCCAAGGAUGACAUUGAAGAUACUGUUUCUCUGUCAGUCUGAAUAUUCUGGAUCUUUUGAGGUUUAAGUUUAGCCACUCUCCACAUUCUGGAAGGGCACGAGGCAGAACUGGGCAACUUUAUCUGUGUGUCAACGAAGUUUUCAGGCAGUUAAUUUUAGAAUUAUACAGGUAUUUCUUUAAAUCCAGAACAGUGGAGCCAGCUGAAGGAACAGAUUUCCGAUAUUGAUGAUGCAGUAAGAAAACUGUAAAGACAGCCAUACAGAAACUUACUGUUUUAGUUGUUUUAAGCAGUCUUUUUACACAUUGGCUUUUGUUUUCUAAAAUACUUGUUUUCCAAGCUAUUGUAUAUUUGGAUUGCAAAACAAUUUGUAAGAUGAAUACUUUUUUUUAUGUGCAUUAAAAGUGUAUUCUAAGUGAG